AUUGAACGCUGGCGGCAGGCCUAACACAUGCAAGUCGAACGAGUGGCGGACGGGUGAGUAAUGUCUGGGAAACUGCCCGAUGGAGGGGGAUAACUACUGGAAACGGUAGCUAAUACCGCAUACCAUCGGAUGUGCCCAGAUGGGAUUAGCUAGUAGGUGGGGUAACGGCUCACCUACGCGACGAUCCCUAGCUGGUAUGAGAGGAUGACCAGCCACGCUGGAACUGGUAGACGGUCAAGAAUCCUACGGGAAGCAGCAGUGGGGAAUGUUGCAAAAUGGGCGCAAGCCUGAAGCAGACAUGCCGCGUGUAUGAAGAGGGCCUUCGGGUUGUAAAGUACUUUCAGCGAGGAGGCGUUACUCGCAGAAGAAGCACCAGAUAACUCCGUGCCAGCAGCCGCGAUAGUUC
rnacentral:rRNA from 1 species